rnacentral:rRNA from 1 species
AAAUUGAAGAGUUUGAUCAUGGCUCAGAUUGAACGCUGGCGGCAGGCCUAACACAUGCAAGUCGAGCGGAAACGAGUUAUCUGAACCUUCGGGGAACGAUAACGGCGUCGAGCGGCGGACGGGUGAGUAAUGCCUAGGAAAUUGCCCUGAUGUGGGGGAUAACCAUUGGAAACGAUGGCUAAUACCGCAUGAUGCCUACGGGCCAAAGAGGGGGACCUUCGGGCCUCUCGCGUCAGGAUAUGCCUAGGUGGGAUUAGCUAGUUGGUGAGGUAAGGGCUCACCAAGGCGACGAUCCCUAGCUGGUCUGAGAGGAUGAUCAGCCACACUGGAACUGAGACACGGUCCAGACUCCUACGGGAGGCAGCAGUGGGGAAUAUUGCACAAUGGGCGCAAGCCUGAUGCAGCCAUGCCGCGUGUGUGAAGAAGGCCUUCGGGUUGUAAAGCACUUUCAGUCGUGAGGAAGGUAGUGUAGUUAAUAGCUGCAUUAUUUGACGUUAGCGACAGAAGAAGCACCGGCUAACUCCGUGCCAGCAGCCGCGGUAAUACGGAGGGUGCGAGCGUUAAUCGGAAUUACUGGGCGUAAAGCGCAUGCAGGUGGUUUGUUAAGUCAGAUGUGAAAGCCCGGGGCUCAACCUCGGAAUUGCAUUUGAAACUGGCAGACUAGAGUACUGUAGAGGGGGUAGAAUUUCAGGUGUAGCGGUGAAAUGCGUAGAGAUCUGAAGGAAUACCGGUGGCGAAGGCGGCCCCCUGGACAGAUACUGACACUCAGAUGCGAAAGCGUGGGGAGCAAACAGGAUUAGAUACCCUGGUAGUCCACGCCGUAAACGAUGUCUACUUGGAGGUUGUGGCCUUGAGCCGUGGCUUUCGGAGCUAACGCGUUAAGUAGACCGCCUGGGGAGUACGGUCGCAAGAUUAAAACUCAAAUGAAUUGACGGGGGCCCGCACAAGCGGUGGAGCAUGUGGUUUAAUUCGAUGCAACGCGAAGAACCUUACCUACUCUUGACAUCCAGAGAACUUUCCAGAGAUGGAUUGGUGCCUUCGGGAACUCUGAGACAGGUGCUGCAUGGCUGUCGUCAGCUCGUGUUGUGAAAUGUUGGGUUAAGUCCCGCAACGAGCGCAACCCUUAUCCUUGUUUGCCAGCGAGUAAUGUCGGGAACUCCAGGGAGACUGCCGGUGAUAAACCGGAGGAAGGUGGGGACGACGUCAAGUCAUCAUGGCCCUUACGAGUAGGGCUACACACGUGCUACAAUGGCGCAUACAGAGGGCGGCCAACUUGCGAAAGUGAGCGAAUCCCAAAAAGUGCGUCGUAGUCCGGAUUGGAGUCUGCAACUCGACUCCAUGAAGUCGGAAUCGCUAGUAAUCGUGGAUCAGAAUGCCACGGUGAAUACGUUCCCGGGCCUUGUACACACCGCCCGUCACACCAUGGGAGUGGGCUGCAAAAGAAGUAGGUAGUUUAACCUUCGGGGGGACGCUUACCACUUUGUGGUUCAUGACUGGGGUGAAGUCGUAACAAGGUAGCGCUAGGGGAACCUGGCGCUGGAUCACCUCCUUA